GUUUAUGGCCAUUCCACCCUGAACACACCCUUAUCCCAUCUGAUCUGGGAAGCUGAGCAGGGUUCAACCUGGUUGGCUUAGAUG
rnacentral:rRNA from 1 species